rnacentral:rRNA from 1 species
ACUCAAAUGAAUUGACGGGGACCCGCACAAGCGGUGGAACAUGUGGUUUAAUUCGAGGCAACGCGAAGAACCUUACCAGGAUUUGACAUGCCUCUCGCGGACUCCCGAAAAGGAGUCCUUCGGUUCGGCCGGAGAGGACACAGGUGCUGCAUGGCUGUCGUCAGCUCGUGUCGUGAGAUGUUGGGUUAAGUCCCGCAACGAGCGCAACCCUCGUCUUCUGUUGCUAACAGGUUAGGCUGAGCACUCUGAAGAAACUGCCGGUGAUAAGCCGGAGGAAGGUGGGGAUGACGUCAAGUCCUCAUGGCCCUUACAUCCUGGGCUACACACGUGUUACAAUGGUGGUGACAAUGAGUCGCGAUCCCGCAAGGGCUAGCCAAUCUCAAAAAGCCACCUCAGUUUGGAUUGUACUCUGCAACUCGAGUACAUGAAAUUGGAAUCGCUAGUAAUCGCGGAUCAGAACGCCGCGGUGAAUACGUUCCCGGGUCUUGCACACACCGCCCGU